rnacentral:rRNA from 1 species
UGGGGAAUUUUGGACAAUGGGCGAAAGCCUGAUCCAGCAAUGCCGCGUGUGUGAAGAAGGCCUUCGGGUUGUAAAGCACUUUUGUCCGGAAAGAAAUCCUUGGCUCUAAUACAGUCGGGGGAUGACGGUACCGGAAGAAUAAGCACCGGCUAACUACGUGCCAGCAGCCGCGGUAAUACGUAGGGUGCAAGCGUUAAUCGGAAUUACUGGGCGUAAAGCGUGCGCAGGCGGUUUGCUAAGACCGAUGUGAAAUCCCCGGGCUCAACCUGGGAACUGCAUUGGUGACUGGCAGGCUAGAGUAUGGCAGAGGGGGGUAGAAUUCCACGUGUAGCAGUGAAAUGCGUAGAGAUGUGGAGGAAUACCGAUGGCGAAGGCAGCCCCCUGGGCCAAUACUGACGCUCAUGCACGAAAGCGUGGGGAGCAAAACAGGAUUAGAUACCCUGGUAGUCCACGCCCUAAAACGAUGUCAACUAGUUGUUGGGGAUUCAUUCCUUAGUAACGUAGCUAACGCGUGAAGUUGACCGCCU